rnacentral:rRNA from 1 species
UACGUAGGUGGCAAGCGUUAUCCGGAUUUAUUGGGUUUAAAGGGAGCGUAGGCGGUUUUGUAAGUCAGUGGUGAAAGACGGUCGCUCAACGAUCGCAUUGCCAUUGAUACUGCAAGGCUAGAGUACAGUAGAGGUGGGCGGAAUUUAUGGUGUAGCGGUGAAAUGCAUAGAUACCAUAAAGAACACCGAUUGCGUAGGCAGCUCACUGGACUGUAACUGACGCUGAGGCUCGAAAGUGUGGGUAUCAAACAGG